GAAAAAGAGCAUCAAGAAUGCAAGGAGUGAGAAUGGACCCAACUCCAUACACAGAAAUGUGAGAGGAAACUCGUUGUAAGAUAUCUUCCUCUCUUUCCUUCCAUUUCUUUUCUUCCUUUCUCUUUUUCGAAGCUGCA
rnacentral:ribozyme from 13 species